CGUGCAUGAUGACAACUCAGAAAUGCUGCGACCUCCCGACUUCGCAGUGGGGGAUCCAACCUUGGAGAGCUGAGCGUGCG
ensembl:snoRNA SNORD39 Small nucleolar RNA SNORD55/SNORD39